CUCUUUGAAGGUUCUUCGGCAUCGUCCCCUGACCCUGAUGUUGUUCGUGAAGCGCUAAAUUUCCUGCUAUCGUCUGAGGUAAGGAAUCAGGAUUGCAUAUUUGUGCUCCGCGGAGUGACUGCAGCAGCGCAUGAGGUGGCAUGGACAUGGUUGAAGGAAAACUGGGACUACAUAGCAAAGACAUUCACUGGACACCUGCUCACCUAUUUCAUCACCGUCACUGUCUCAC